rnacentral:rRNA from 1 species
CCUACUGGUGGCUGCAGUGGGGAAUAUUGCGCAAUGGUCGAAAGCCUGACGCAGCGACGCCGCGUGAGGGAUGAAGGUCUUCGGAUCGUCACCCUCUGUCAGCAUGGAAGCACGGUCACUGUGCUAAUCAGCAGUGAAUUGACGGUAACUGCAAAGGAAGCACCGGCUAACUCCGUGCCAGCAGCCGCUGUAGUACGGAGGGUGCGAGCGUUAAUCGGAAUUACUGGGCGGAAAGCGCUCGUAGGCGGUAUGGCAAGUCAAGGGUGAAAUCCCCGCGCUCAACGUGUGAACUGCCUUUGAAACUGGCAAACUGGAGUGUGUGAGAGGAUAGUGGAAUUCCAGGUGGAGGAGUGAAAUCCGUAGAUAUCUGGAGGAACAUCAGUGGUGAAGGCGACUAUCUGGCACAUAACUGACGCUGAGGAGCGAAAGCGUGGGUAGCAAACAGGAUUAGAUACCCUUGUAGUC